CAUAACGACUCUCGGCAACGGAUAUCUCGGCUCUCGCAUCGAUGAAGAACGUAGCGAAAUGCGAUACUUGGUGUGAAUUGCAGAAUCCCGUGAACCAUCGAGUCUUUGAACGCAAGUUGCGCCCGAGGCCACUCGGCCGAGGGCACGUCUGCCUGGGCGUCACGCA
rnacentral:rRNA from 1 species